GACGAACGCUGGCGGCGUGCUUAACACAUGCAAGUCGAACGGAAAGGCCCUGCUUUUGUGGGGUGCUCGAGUGGCGAACGGGUGAGUAACACGUGAGUAACCUGCCCUUGACUUUGGGAUAACUUCAGGAAACUGGGGCUAAUACCGGAUAGGAGCUCCUGCUGCAUGGUGGGGGGUGGAAAGUUUCGGCGGGUGGGGAUGGACUCGCGGCUUAUCAGCUUGUUGGUGGGGUAGUGGCUUACCAAGGCUUUGACGGGUAGCCGGCCUGAGAGGGUGACCGGCCACAUUGGGACUGCGAUACGGCCCAGACUCCUACGGGAGGCAGCAGUGGGGAAUAUUGCACAAUGGGCGGAAGCCUGAUGCAGCAACGCCGCGUGCGGGAUGACGGCCUUCGGGUUGUAAACCGCUUUCGCCUGUGACGAAGCGUGAGUGACGGUAAUGGGUAAAGAAGCACCGGCUAACUACGUG
rnacentral:rRNA from 1 species